UACGGGGGGGGCAAGCGUUGUUCGGAAUUACUGGGCGUAAAGGGCUCGUAGGUUGCCAACUAAGUCAGACGUGAAAUCCCUCAGCUUAACUGGGGAACUGCGUCUGAUACUGGAUGGCUUGAGUUUGGGAGAGGGAUGCGGAAUUCCAGGUGUAGCGGUGAAAUGCGUAGAUAUCUGGAGGAAUACCGGUGGCGAAGGCGGCAUCCUGGACCGGCAUUGACGCUGAGGAGCGAAAGCCAGGGGAGCGAACAGG
rnacentral:rRNA from 1 species